AGAGUUUGAUUCUGGCUCAGAANNNAACGCUGGCGGCGUGCCUAACACAUGCAAGUCGAGCGCGAAAAGAGCAAUCUGAGUAGAGCGGCGCACGGGUGCGUAACACGUGGGUAAUCUGCCUCGAGGUCUGGGAUAACCAUUCGAAAGUUUGGCUAAUACCAGGUAAGCUCACGGUGACUUCGGUCGCUGAGAGAAAAGGGGCCCGAAAGGGUCUCGCCACGAGAUGAGCCCGCGGCCCAUCAGCUAGUUGGUGAGGUAACGGCCCACCAAGGCAACGACGGGUAGCUGGUCUGAGAGGACGAUCAGCCACACUGGAACUGAGACACGGUCCAGACUCCUACGGGAGGCAGCAGUGGGGAAUUUUGCACAAUGGGCGAAAGCCUGAUGCAGCAACGCCGCGUGUGUGAUGAAGGUCUUCGGAUCGUAAAGCACUUUCGACCGGGACGAACAAGCCUGGCCACACCAGGCCCUGACGGUACCGGGAGAAGAAGCACCGGCUAACUCUGUGCCAGCAGCCGCGGUAAUACAGAGGGUGCAAGCGUUGUUCGGAAUUAUUGGGCGUAAAGCGCGUGUAGGCGGCUUAGCAAGUCGGGCGUGAAAGCCCUCGGCUCAACCGAGGAAGUGCACCCGAAACUGCUGAGCUUGAGUGCCGGAGAGGAUGGCGGAAUACCCCAAGUAGAGGUGAAAUUCGUAGAUAUGGGGUGGAACACCGGUGGCGAAGGCGGCCAUCUGGACGGUAACUGACGCUGAGACGCGAAAGCGUGGGGAGCNNAC
rnacentral:rRNA from 1 species